rnacentral:lncRNA from 1 species
CCCCACUCUAAAUAUUCCUUAGUCACGGACUCACGGGUUACCACAACAAGUACAUCAAAAAUAAAAUCAGACCAAGACAAGGAAGCGGCAAUAAAGGAAUGUUGUCAAAUAUUGAGAAAUAAGAUCAUCAUCAUCAUCAUCAUUAUUAUUAACUUGUACAUCAAAAUACAAAGCAGAAGAAAGAGAAGUUGACUUCAAUCCGCGUUAUUCAAACCACAAUCACGUUUGUGGCACUAAACACCACCCUUCAUCUUCCUCAAUUGGAUCAAUCACAUAUUCCACAUUAAAGAAACCCAUCUUUUCAUAAUUUCCAUCUUCCUCUACCUCAUCACAAUCCACCCUCACAUCAUGAUCAUUUCUAUUAUCAUAGGCUCUACUUGCAUAACCAUUGAUUUCAUGAUCUUCUUCAUCAUCAUCAUCGUUAUCAUAAUCUCUAGUAGACAGAUGAUCCAAAAUCCCCGUGGCAGAAAACCCGGAAAAAUUCGAGCUGGGCCGGCUGUCCACAACCCGCCAAGUGACCAAACGAUGAUUGGAUAAGACGUCGGAUGACUUGAGCUUGUGGUUCCCUUUGGUCUUGUCCUUGGCCUUAGAAGCCGGGUGGAUGUGACACUCGGUGCACCCGGGCUUGCCGCACUUGCCCGUGAACUUGGAGUGGUUGGUAGGCUUGGUGGCCACCUUGGUGAACAACCCGGCUGUAGGAGGUGAAUCAAACCUGUUCACGUGUCGGGUUUGUGGUCUUGGGUUCAAUGAGUCGGGUAGGACCCGGUAAGUCCGAACCAUCCCGUGCUGGCGACCCUCUCUUUUCAUUGUUGACAAAUGGAGCUGUGGGCUGAAUGAAAGAUUGAAAGAA